CUGGAACAGAAAGGAAGCUCUUGCCCACUAAGAAUUGCAGAUUUGAACUUGAGUCUCCUGAAAGUUCUGAAUAUGACUCAUUCUUCAGGUAUCUGAAUUUGCACUUCCUUACAGUGAAG
rnacentral:lncRNA from 12 species